UUGAAACUAUUUCAUCUUGAUUUCUUAGUAUUACACGUCCACUUCUCAUCUACAAAUGGGACAAUUGUCAUGUCAUAAUUGCCCUGCUAGUAGCUAUUGGUUAUUGUCUUUUAGGCCCCUAAUUCCGACAGAUGGCGCCAGAGUGAAGCUUUUGACUGGCAACAGUGUGUUGACCGUCCGUGGUGUCAUAGACAUGGAAGCCAGACAGCUAGCCAGCUAAACAGCUAACCGCAGCUAAACAAAACGUUGUGGUUCAGUCAACUUCUACCAACAUUGAAGAUGAUGAACAUCAGCAACCGAGCAUUGGAUAGACUCUACUCUGUUCUCCUGCUGGCCAUAGUGGUGCUGUCGUGGACCUAUGUCAUCUAUGGUAGUAGGAUAGCAGCACAGAUGCAGCUGGAGAAGAGACUCGACAUCAAACUACACAACUAAAGCUCAAAUACGCUGUACGGCGCCCACAGCUCAUUGGUCAACAUCGUCCAACGCAUCAUCACCUCGCGACUCGCACGCCAUGAUAUGGAGGGAGGGGGCGGGGCCAUCCAGGACGAACUACGCCCCUUCCAGCUGGUACAGACGGACCACUUCCUCCACGAGCUGCUAAAGUCUUCAGUUAUUAAUACCAUGGACAUUCCCAAGACAAAGUCGACAACCGGGACCCUGGACCAGUCUCCAUCCCGUUGCCUACUGUGAUGAAGUCUGUCUUUACGGGACCCUGGACCAGUCUCCAUCCCGUUGCCUACUGUGAUGAAGUCUGUCUUUACGGGACCCUGGACCAGUCUCCAUCCCGUUGCCUACUGUGAUGAAGUCUGUCUUUACUGACCAGCUGCUCUUUCAGACUAAUUUAUACACCACAAUGCUGAAUGUUUUUUUUUACCAUAGUUAGUUUGUCUUAGAUGUGAGUAAUAUUUUUCACAUUGUGCAACAUGAUUUUUAUUAAAAAAGGAAAAAAAUAA